UGAUAAUGAUGAUUUCAACAAGAAAAUUCCAGAAUAAGAUGAUGGUUCAAAUCGAGCUUUUUAACACUGAUGUCUA